CCUCUUUUAGAGACUCAGUCCCACAUCUCUAACCCUUUCCCAUGCCCCCUUCUCUCCCCUCCUCCAGCUUCAUGUAUCCAAAUGUCCUUUGCCUCAGACCCCACAGACAUAUGGCUGACAUCCUGGAUGGAGAACACUGACAUCUUGGGGAUAAUUGUCCAGAACCUUGCCGAGGAGGGCCCAUUUUACAAAACAGGAAACGGAUGUUGAGAUGAAGACUCUUCCCCAGAGUUGUAGGUUCCCAAGAGAAACAGAGUGACCCAUUUGCCUGAGCCAGGUCAAGCAAGAGUGAAUGUCUUGAGAAAUUCGAGCACUUCAUGCCCUUCCAGUACCGCUCAGGUUCCAGGUUAGUUUUCCCCUCUGGUCUCCUUCACUGGGCUCAAAUUCUCAACAACUGGCAGUGGAGGGUUUGAAGAAUGUUGGGUGGAAUGUUGCUGACCCCAGAGUUCCUCCCACUUGAAGGCCUGCGUAGGGUUAUUUGGACUCCUUCCUGCUCUGUACCACAAGUGUUCCCACCCACAGUCCAUGGGAGAGCCUGUGCCUGAGGGACACGGGGCAGCAAAUUCCUCAGGCACCUAUGAGAUAUGCCCUACGUUCCCCCUGACAAAUGAAGUUACAGCAAAAGCUAGGGAAGACAGCUGCUUCCAUUUCAUCCAGCCCAGCUGAGUCCCAUAGCUGCUUCUCCUCUGCCAGUCCCAAUGUCAUUACCACUGAGGCACUGGGAUUGAACUUGAGUUAUGAAGGCCACACAUGAAGACAGAAGUAAGGAGAUGACGAGGAGGAGACAAGAGGGUUGAAAUUGAACAGGGAAAAGAUUAAAAGUAA